AUGGCCAUAUCACAAUGAAACACUGGUCCUCAUAUGAUCACUGAAGUUAAGCAAUGUCAAUCCUGGUCCAUACCAAGAUGGGUGACCACUUGGGAAUACCAGGUGCUGUAA